AGAAAUUAAAAUAUUAUAUUAAUCUACGCCACAAGAAGAUGUGUUGGCGACAGCUUCUACACCUUCAACAGAUUCGCACCUAGGUGGCUCUAGGGCCGGCCGUCCUCCAACACGAGGGCCGACCAUUACUUACUAUACUGUGUGGGGGGCAGACCACGCCCACUAGGUGUAACUUAUUCUUACCCCUACAUUUACAUCAAUUUAAUUUCAGUUGUGACCAGAAAUUCUUUCAAAAUACAGUACUUCAUAAGUUUAAAUAUCAUAUGACGAUAAUAACUCGUAUCGUUAAUAAUAACAGAAGCAAACCCCCCUGUGACUGACUGGCAAAGGUUAGGUCCACAUGCUGCUCGGGUGAUAACUACAUCAAUUAAUCUAUGAGAACACUUGUAAAUGAAAAAGCCUGUGAAUCGUCGACGCUGCUGGAUCACUUACUAUGAUGAUAAAAUUAUAUUAGGUCUUUUUAAAAUAUCCUCCUCGUUCCAGGUUGCCGCGUGCACCUCGCGUCUCGCCGAGUAACUCGACAGUUGCCAAAUUAGAAUGUUUCCGACAGUGCGCGUCUCACUUCCGGACGACGCUGCAAUAAUAUUGGGUUAGGAAUUAUCGGAUGUAUUAUUUAUGUAUAUUACCUUCAAGUUUAAUACACCAGCAGUCAAUAGAGAACACCUCAGGUUGUGUGGAUUUGGUAUAUCUGGUCAUGGUGGAACCAAGAGGUGGCGAAUACACAUUAGGUACUGUUAUUUAUAAUAAAUGUGUGUGACAACUUUCUGGGUUUGUUUCUAUGGCAAAUUACUAUAGUAUCUAUUAGCAGGAACCUGACGACCCUCAGCCCCUGACCCACGCACUCCUGACCACCACAUAUGAUAUAGAAUGAGGUAAAGAACAUGAAGAUUGAUUAUUAUAUACCGCUGGUGGCAACUGAGUCACUCAUCAAUAUUUUGGCAUGAUGUAUUACCACACUAUGGGGGAACAGGUCAUUGGCCACUAUGGGGGAACAGGUCAUUGGCCACUAUGGGGGAACAGGUCAUUGGCCACUAUGGGGGAACAGGUCAUUGGCCACUAUGGGGGAACAGGUCAUUGGCCACUAUGGGGGAACAGGUCAUUGGCCACUAUGGGGGAACAGGUCAUUGACCACUAUGGGGGAACAGGUCAUUGGCCACUAUGGGGGAACAGGUCAUUGGCCACUAUGGGGGAACAGGUCAUUGGCCACUAUGGGGGAACAGGUCAUUGGCCACUAUGGGGGAACAGGUCAUUGGCCACUAUGGGGGAACAGGUCAUUGGCCACUAUGGGGGAACAGGUCAUUGGCCACUAUGGGGGAACAGGUCAUUGACCAAAAAACACAUAUUUCUUUGUAACAUAAUGUGUCCCCCUUCCAAGAAACCAAUAUAUACUGCCAGUACUCUAUAUAAUAACACCAUCGAGCCCUUCUUCUAAUGGGCAGUAUUUGGCUUGUGUUCCAAACCACACGUCCGUAAGGUGACAAUAUUGCUUUACUGAUUUUUAUCAAACUUGGUGACAACACUGGGAUCCCUCAAGUGUUUAUAGUCACUAUUUUUUCUACUCGGUUAAUGCAAAAUUAAAACGAUCACAAAAUUAAUGGCAAUGUGGCAUUGGGCGCACUCAGUUGCUGAUGAAGUUAUUCAACCCCCAUUUAGGGAUGUUUUGUAUGGUAUAAAGAGGCCAAUGUAAUAAUGUUAUAUUUGUAGACUUAACGCCAAUGAUUUUCAUGCCUGACGCACCCUCCCCCGACCUAACUUUAUUCGGGUAAUAUAUUUCACUGGGAACUGUCCCGGUGUGUUAUGGACGGACGAGAAGCACGCGCUCGCGUAUUAUUAUACGAGAUUAAUAUUUUGAUGUUAAUGUUUGAUAUGAUUAAAGGCAUCUAUUAUUUAUUGGGUCAUGAAAGCUGUAAAAGGCCAUCCCUUAUCAACCCUAGAUUAGGGUUUUCUUACGAGGACUAACCCAUCUGGGCGCAGGUAACCGACCCACGCCGGGGCCUAAGGGGCGGAGAUUGAACCAAAAAUAAAUACAGAAAUUGAAGAAAACAAAAUUAAAUAAAGAAUGAGAAAUAAUAUACUACAGUAAAUCCUCACUUAACGUCGUCCCGCUAAGCGUUGUUUCGGUACUACGUCGUUAUGUGUCGUCACGGACUACUGUCUACGGCGCAUCACCCCCAUUGUCUGGCAGCGCUACACUCUCUUGCCUCGUACCAGAGACUCACCACCCUCCCUUCUCCCCUCC
rnacentral:lncRNA from 1 species